rnacentral:rRNA from 1 species
CCUACGGGAGGCAGCAGUGGGGAAUAUUGGGCAAUGGGCGCAAGCCUGACCCAGCAACGCCGCGUGAAGGAAGAAGGCCCUCGGGUUGUAAACUUCUUUUAUCAAGGACGAAACAAACGACGCUACUUGAUGAAUAAGCGACGGCUAACUACGUGCCAGCAGCCGCGGUAAUACGUAGGCGGCAAUCGUUAUGCGGAUUUGCUGGGUGUAAAGGGCGGGUAGGCGGGACUGCAAGGCAGGUGUGAAAAUCAGGGGCUCAACCCAUGGCCUGCAUUAGACACUGUAGUUCUUGAGUGUUGGAGAGGCAGGCGGAAUGCCGAGUGUAGCGGUGAAAUGCGUAGAUAUUCGGAGGAACACCAGUGGCGAAGGCGGCCUACUGGACAAUAACUGACGCUGAGGCGCGAAAGCGUGGGGAGCAAACAGGAUUAGAUACCCGUGUAGUC